rnacentral:rRNA from 1 species
UACGUAGGUGACCAGCGUUGUCCGGAUUUACUGGGCGUAAAGAGCGCGCAGGCGGUCGUUCAAGUCGAGUGUGAAAGCCCCCGGCUCAACUGGGGAGGGUCACUCGAUACUGAUCGACUUGAAGGCAGGAGAGGGAAGCGGAAUUCCCGGUGUAGUGGUGAAAUGCGUAGAUAUCAAGAGGAACACCUGAGGCGAAGGCGGCUUCCUGGACCAAUACUGACGAUCAGGUGCGAAAGCGUGGGGAGCAAACGGG